GGUGGAGCAGUUCAGGGAUAACAAGAAGGACCUGCACAUGGUGCUUAUCGACUUGGAGAAGGAGUAUGACAAGGUCCCUAUGGAGGUGCUGUGGAGGUGCUUGGAGGCGAAGAGCGUGCCAGAAGCCUACAUCAGAGUAAUCAAAGACAUAUACGAUGGAGCUAAGACUAGGGUUAGGACGGUGGGUGGCGACUCAGACCAUUUUCCA
rnacentral:lncRNA from 1 species